rnacentral:tRNA from 1 species
AGCUUUAUAUUCAAUAAUGAUAUUAGAUUGCAAAUCUAAAGGAAUAACAAUUAGUUAUUAAAGCUU